rnacentral:misc_RNA from 1 species
AAAAUUGAAGAAACCCCACACCUCUCAAAACUGUGUUUUUUCUCUCAAAUUUGCUCCAAAAUUCAUCAAAAUUCGGAUCCCACCAUCCGUUUUAAGGCCGAGAAUAACGAGAAAACUCUAGUGGUGGUCCGUGAAUAGUUCGUGAUCAGUUUUUUGAGGUUCUCGAGGACAAAUUUUGAGCUAAAACAAGGUUACGGAGUUGAAAAGAUAUUGUGUUGCUCUUAGUGUUUGUGAAAGAAGAACUUUGUGUCAAUUCGAGAGA